ensembl:lncRNA
CUUCUUCCCCCAAGCAGGGCCAUUCUGUUACAAACAGCCAAGACAUAGCUCUAUGGUCUAUGUCUCAUAGACCCUCCCACAGCCAGCUCUGUCACUCUGCUCCAUACACCAAAGGCGCUGUGUAGGAAGAGAGGUCUCUCCCAUGACUGCAGGGUCUGCCUGGGCAGGCUGCUGCAAACAUGAGGCAAAAGAAAUUUGGCAUCCCGCAGUGUGUCUGCUGGAGGGCUGAAGAUACCUCCGUGAAGAUGGGAACCUGCUCCCUCACAAACAGCUUACAAGGAGUAUGUAUUUUCCCUGGGGUGCUGCAGACCAGAGGUGGAAACCUGCAGCUAAGCACAAAGAGAGAAAUGGCAAGAAAUCACUUCACCGCUGCAAGCUUCCGAGCUCUUCUUUCUUAAGUAGGCGAAAAAGGAAACUUCUAAACUGCCUGUCACAUCCUCUCACUGGUAACAACCAUCACCUGGAAAGGGGACAGCGCUGAGCUCAUCUCUGGAAUGAAACAAUAGAGGAAAAGCACUGCGGAAUGCGCUCGUUCAACACCGCCGCUGAGCAGGAGACGGAUUUUAUGUAUCAAAGGAAAUUCUGCUAUUUUUAAACUGUUUUUCCAUGAAUUGGAGUCCUCUUACUGUAAUUUAGGUCUGUUUGCUGAGUUAUGGUGAUCUUGGGACUAUGGAACCCAGCCCUAAAAGUUACCUCGGUAUGCAAGCAAAGGAAAGGCACUGAACAUUAAAUAAAGACAGAACCCCAGAGGUAGGAUGGGGGAUAUUCCUUUUUUUUUUUUUUU